UACGUAGGGUGCAAGCGUUGUCCGGAAUUAUUGGGCGUAAAGAGCUUGUAGGCGGUUUGUCGCGUCUGCUGUGAAAUUUCGGGGCUCAACCCCGAACUUGCAGUGGGUACGGGCAGACUAGAGUGUGGUAGGGGAGACUGGAAUUCCUGGUGUAGCGGUGAAAUGCGCAGAUAUCAGGAGGAACACCAGUGGCGAAGGCGAGUCCCUGGACAACUCCUGACACUGAGGCACGAAAGCUAGGGGAGCAAACAGG
rnacentral:rRNA from 1 species